AGAGUCUAUUAAUCAAUGAAGCUAUCUUCAACUUUCGAAGCAAAAAUUAUCCCAGGUGCACUCUCUCCUUUUAUUUUCUUUGCUUUCCUACUCCAUUGAGGAUAAUAGAGAUUAAGUUGGGGAGGGAAGAAAAUUAAUCAAAUCCUCGAGUAUGGUCAGAAAUAAUUAGUUUUAUGUAUCCAAAUUUUAUUUUGAUUAAGAGUCAA
rnacentral:lncRNA from 1 species